rnacentral:ncRNA from 1 species
GUGACCUCGAAUCUCGAAGGAAGCUGGAUUAUGAGGGAAAGAGGUACCAACUCAUGGGCAAAUUCUUGGUCUGACGAACAGAAAUCUCUUUACAAGGAGGUUGAUGGCAUGAGGACAAACUGCGACACAAGCACAAAGUCCAAUAACUACACGGGAAUCAGUGCAUAGAUAGAUGAGGCAGAUAUAAGGAGA